rnacentral:lncRNA from 1 species
UGAAGUCUCAUCCGAUAACCUUGCUAACAUCUUGAUCAAUUUUAUCUUGAAAUUACAAAAGCAUAGAUCACUGUGGACUUUCAAAGGUUUUAAUUUGGCCGAGUUUCAAAAGAAUGGUCAUUUCUAAGGAUAUUGAAACACAAAUGGCCAAAGUUAAUGAAGAGCGUCACAAAAACUCAUAUUUUACACACUUUAAUUUUCUUACUUACUUUCCACCCCUCAAGAUCUUUUGAUGCAACAAUUUCAUCAUUCAUUUUCUUUCUUUUUUUCUUCCAUUUCUUUUUUUUUCUUUUUUUAUUUCAUCUUUC